UACGUAGGGGGCGAGCGUUGUCCGGAUUUAUUGGGCGUAAAGAGCGUGUAGGCGGCCAGGUAGGUCUGCUGUGAAAACUCGAGGCUUAACCUCGAGACGUCGGCGGAAACCAUCUGGCUAGAGUCCGGAAGAGGAGAGUGGAAUUCCUGGUGUAGCGGUGAAAUGCGCAGAUAUCGGGAAGAACACCCGUGGCGAAGGCGGUUCUCUGGGACGGUACUGACGCUGAGACGCGAAAGCGUGGGGAGCGAACAGG
rnacentral:rRNA from 1 species